AUUUGGAGUUGGGUUUGUUGGUAACAAACUGCUGCAUUUUGGAUCAUUUGGCUGCUGAACUUCAGGGGCAACCCCCUGAUUGCAUACUAAAGGACGCAAAAAACACCAGCAAACUAAGUUAUUCAAGUUUGCUUGGGAGCAUUAAUCCUAUGAGCGAUCUAGAGUUUAUCAAGCUUUGGCAGAAGAAGAUAUUGAAGUUGUAAGUAGAUGAAAUUCAAAACUAAUGAAUUAUGAAAUAGGGUCACUGGAAAUCAUACCUUUCUUAUACUUGAACAUUUGGAUACUUUUCUCCAUGUUACUUAUAGUUUUUGGUGUAAAGGGUUCUAGCUAUGACGUGUAGAUAAUUGGGAUAUUUUGUUAAAAUGGAUGUGGUUGAACAACACAAGCAUAGUGUAUUGUAUACAUUUUCCAACCAUCUAAGUGCUAUUAAUGCAAUUGAUUAAACUUAUCAAGAAACGAAAGGAAAACAUGAGCGAGAAGGUGUAAACUUGUGGUAUAUGGUAUUAGCUUAGUGCUAGCACCAAUUAACUUGUGGUAUAUGGUAUUAGCUUAGUGCUAGCAGCCAAUUAACUUGUGAUAUAUGCAUUUUGUGGGGCUUGUUUUAGUUUCUUUAUAGUCUAAAGUUUUGGUUUCAAGUCUGUUUUGAUGUUGAUAAGUAAUGAAACAUUAUUGAUUGAGAGUAGUUCUUUCUCAGGAUUAUACGGCUUAAGCUGUAACCGUGAUAAGAUAUCGGAUGGCUAAAGCUCUUUUAAUUUUUGCAAGAUGCCAAGGGCAAUGAUGUUGAUCUCAGUCUGAUAUUGAUCAAUGUGAAGCAUAUUACGAAGCUGCUGGGGGAACAAGGAAGAGAAGAAUAUAUGGUCUUGGAUCUCAAGCACAAAGUUAUCUGCUUUUUGUUGGAAAUAACAAAAUUAUGCACUAACAAUACUUGAUGGAUGUGUGGGUUCUUUUGGUAGUUGAUGACUUGGUGUUGUCGGCGUUUUGGACUUAACGAUUAGGAUUUCGCUAUCUAUUUUGAAUCUUUUUUAUAAAUAUUAUUUUAUGUGAAUGUCAGUUAUUUUUAAGGGUA